rnacentral:rRNA from 1 species
AGUGAACGCUGGCGGCGUGCCUAAUACAUGCAAGUCGAACGGAGUGGCGCACGGGUGAGUAAUAUAUAGCUAAUCAGCCCCUUGCUGGAGGACAACAGUUAGAAAUGAAUGCUAAUACUCCAUAGCAAGGGAUGAGACUAUAUCGUAUCAGCUAGACGGUGGGGGAACGGCCUACCGAGGCUAUGACGCGUAACUGGUCUUAGAGGAUGAUCAGUCACAUUGGAUCUGAGACACGGUCCCAACUCCUACGGGAGGCCGCAGUAGGGAAUCUUGCGCCAUGUGGGAAACCCUGACGCAGCAACGCCGCUUGGAGGAUAACACUUUUCGUAGCGUAAACUCCUUUUGUUAGGGAAGCGGUACCUAACGAAUAAGCACCGGCUAACUCCGUGCCAGCCGCCGCGGUAAUAC